CAACACAAGUUUGCGGUUUGCAAAAGUAAAGGUGUAUGUGUUGAGAAAGCCAUCAUGAAUUACGCGUCUGCCAUAUUCCCAUGGUCGUCCGAGAAGGAGGUGGCAAGCAUCCAUAGGCACUAUGUCACAGUAAACUUCAUCUUGGUACGACGAGCCAACAGAGAAUGAUAUGAGAACACGUCGAGCGAUGAUAAGGUCAUGAUCUUGUUGUAUCCAAGCAAGUUUAUAAGGAGAAGGGUGUGGUUCAUCUUUCAGAUCAAGCUUCUGAACGGCAUCAGCGGCAAUGACGUUCUCAGUACUCCCCGAGUCAA
rnacentral:lncRNA from 1 species